GACGAACGCUGGCGGCGUGCCUAAUACAUGCAAGUCGAACGCAGUGGGGACGGGGGAGUAACAUGUGGGUAACCUGCCAUAAGAGGGGAUAACACUUGGAAACAGGUGCUAAACCGAUAGUGAUGGAUGGACCCCAGGUGCAUUAGCUAGUUGGGGAGGUAACGGCUCACCAAGGCAACGAAGCAUAGCGUGCCGUAGAGGGUGAGCGGCAAACCUGGUACGGAGACACGGCCCAGACUCCUACGGGAGGCAGCAGUGGGGAAUCUUGUACAAUGGACGAAAGUCUGACCGAGCAACGCCGCGUGAGUGAAGAAGGUUUUCGGAUUGUAAAACUCUGUUGUUGGAUAGGCGUUAUCUAACCAGAAAGCCACGGCUAACUACGUGCCAGCAGCCGCGGUAAUAC
rnacentral:rRNA from 1 species